rnacentral:ncRNA from 2 species
GUUAUUCAUUGUGGUGAUUUGGCCGGUCGGCUUGCAGCCAC